UUUAAAGCCGGAUGUUUUUGCUUAAUUGUAGCCUGAUAUUGAUAUUUAAUAAUCGCUUAUGCGGGAAUUUCUACUUGAUGGCAUAUAAACCUGUUGAGAAGCUGUAACGUCACAUUUCGUUCAAGAACUACACAUGUGCAGCUCCAUGAAGACUGACUGAAUCAUGGAGGAUAAACAAACAUCCAGAGAUGCAGAUAUUUCUCCAGGACACAGUGACAGAUCAAACCAACAGGAGUCCAGCUGUGUGUCCAUUAAGAGUUACAAAUCAAUGGAACAGCCAGGAAAACUAGAGGGAGGACACAAAUCUACUGAUCUGAGGUACACAGUGGCAGUGCUAGGGCAUGGCUUGCUGGGACUAUAGCCCCACUAGAUAUUAGCAUAGCAUCGGGUGAACAAAAAAACA